rnacentral:lncRNA from 1 species
CUAACUCUAAAUAGAAAGAUUGACUUCGUGGAUGAAUUAUCCUCCACAAUUUUUAAGACUUAAUAUAACUUAAAAAAAUUAAAUUAUUUGAUAGUUGACAAUGACAGUAUAAACACACAAAUUUUCUUAUAUCACUAUUGCCAAAUAUCAAAUAAUUUAAUAUUUUGAAGUUAUAUUAAGCUGUAAGUAGUGUUUAAAAUUAUUAAUUUAGGAUGUAUAAAUUAAUUUUAUAAUAAAGUUAUGUAUUAAAAUUUAUAAAUUAGUUUUAAAGGCUUAUAAAUCAAACUAAAACAAUAUAUAAAUGAUAAUAAAGAUUUUUAAAAAAUUAAUGACUUUUAGUGAAAAA